GCGAGUUUGGCGGACUACGCCAACAGCAAUCCGUUGAAUGCCAGCUGGGAUCCCCGUAGAAUUCAGUGGGGUUGUUGCCCCCAAUCUGGGGUAUAAAACCCGCGGCCAUGCGCCUCGUUCUCUGGCCACAACCCACACCCAGUGCCGACCUCCACCAUAGCCGUGAAUCUCCCCGCCGAGAACCAUAGAAUCUUUCCCCGUGGGCAGAAGUCCGGUUGAAAAGUGUUGUGCCCUAGGGCGCUGGCGAGGGCGCAUCAUCGGGGCACACCGUGCGGAUUUGGGUCGGUUAUUGGCACUGGCGCUAGGAACUGCAGAGUUAAUUCCUCACCGGAGUUGACUUCCCCGCCUAGGACCACUGUUGGCAGUGGGUGGCACUCAUCGUCCAAUCUCAUCGCCGAAAAGCCAGCCAUAGAGGAUUCAGGUGUUCAGAAGGUGGAGAC
rnacentral:lncRNA from 7 species